AUACGAGUCUUUCCUUUUUUGCUUUUGCUUGACUUUCGCUCCCUAAUUGGGACACUAUGACCCUGAAUUGUAAUUCUUUGAUCCCAGAUUAAUGGUUUUGCCUCAUAAUUGCCUCCCAACAAUUUUAGGUGGACUGAGAACACAAUGCAAUUUAAUUGGCACAGGAACCGCUCGAAUGGGUACGAUUUGUAUUCCUGCUUUACAAAGACAGAGGCUGAAGCUCAUACCUUCUGCUUAAACAAUUGGCUGGAUCCUGGAAGAAUGAAUCACCAUGUGUGAAGGAAACUCAGGAGUAUUGGUUUCUUGGAAGUCUGACAGAUCCAUAAACAGAGUAUGAAAGUGACAAGGAUGCUUUCAGUUUUGAUCCCAGCCUGUCUUUGCCCCCCAGCUUUGGCUUCUGAUGAGAAGGAGCAGGCCAACCCAGAGCUCCUGGUGCUGGGAUGAGGACUCUUUGAAGGUGGAUCCCAGGAAAUGGUGAAGAGAGGUUGUGGAGGACAAGAAAGUUUUCCUAACAGCCACACUGGAUUCCUACAGCUCCUCGGGCACACCAGCCAUGUGCCUUUGUAACUUCCCCCAUGAAUCUGCCUGGUUAACACCUUAUCUCAUUCAAGUCUGAUUAUAUCUCAGCUUCUCAAGGAAGGGUACCCUGACCACCCUAUUUUAUGUUUCUAGCAACCUGCCACCACAACCUAUUUUCCUGAUGCUUUUUCCUCUGAUUUACUUUUUCUGUUUUUUCUUUUCUAGCACAUAUCACUUUUUCACACAUACAGUUUAAUUUUCUUAUCUGUUGUAUCUAUUAUUUCUUGUCUUCUUUGCUAGAAUAUAAGUUUCUCAAGGCCAAGGGUCUUUGUCAAGUUUGUUCAUUGAUUAUAUAAAGCCCCGGGAACAGUGCCUGGAACAUAGGAACUCAAUAAAUGUUGGUUGAAUUAAGAGAUUUAAUGAGAAGAUCUUGAAUAGGAAAAGGUGAUUGGUUCCAGAUUCAAAAGAACAGUCAAGAGAGGAAGGUAUUUAGUAUCAAAGUAAUCCAUUAAAAUUUGAUUCUAAAUUUCUUUUUUUAAAUUUUGAAAAAAUUUGCUUAACUGCCAUAAGAGGCAGAGUUUGGAAUCUGAGGGGAUUCUUGACGAAAUCUCUGUAGCUUAUUUUCUGAGAUGAGAUCCACAGAAAUCUGGCAGAAACUCAUGAAACUACCGCCAAGGCCAGUUGAUCUGAGCCACUGUGGUCAAUCCAUUUCCGUUUUUUGUUUUUUGUUUCUUCCCCUUUCCAAUAUCCCAGAGCAACAGGAUAAACUAUGCCAUUGGGUCUUCUUCUCUCCCCUUAAAUUCCUUAUGUGGCCAUAACUUAUAAAAGUAUUCUUGGACUUACCCAAUGGAUAGGGAUUGUAAUAAAAGCAGGCCAAAUUUAAAGAUCAGGGCAACCACUAACCAUGAUGGGGGAUACUAUUCAUGUGACUAACUCCUUCUGGCAGGAAAUAGAGGAGUCAAACCUGCAAAUCCCAGCGCAAAGAACAACCUGACACAAUCCACAGAUCUGAGUCACUGAGGCUAUGCCUAAACCCAAGUGAAGCAGAAGCAAUUGCUUGGUUAGUUCAAAAUGAGUGCUUUCUAUUUCCUUAGGAGACUAACAAACCUCCUAAGCACCACAUUAAAUAGACAAGACACUUGUAAUCAUUAGGCAAAUUUUCUUAGUUUCGAGAAACGGAAGAACUUUUUUAUAUCUUUGCUCAUCCCUUGGAGACAUAGAACAUUAUUCUUUAAUUGAGUAUGCCUUAAAAGAGGGACUAAAUAGCCUCUCCAGGUGUCUUCUAGAUCCACACAUCUUUAAUUUAUCCAUGGACAAACAUAAUAUUGUAGAAGAAUUGAAGGAGUGUAGCUCUAAGUCUUGGUCCUGCCUUAUUAGUCAUCAUCCAGCUGCCUUUAUACUGUGGAUCGGGGAGGCACAGUUGUACGAAUUCACUGUCACUGGAAGACUGAGGUUUGUUCCUGUCUGGAAGUUUGUUCAAGCGUGAGUCCACUGAUUGAGGCAGUGAUUGUGGUCUGCCAAGGGUGCUGUGUAAAAAGGAAGUCGUUUCUUCCAACAGUCUUGUUUGUGUUUUCCAAACUGUUUCAGUUUAUGUUCUGUUUCCAUUCCCAUGCUCAGCCCUCCCAAAGUAAACAGAUGACAAGUUGUGGUGGUGGGAUAGUGGUGAGGCAGGGGUGGGGAUGGAGGUGGAGGAAGGAAGAGAUGUCCCCAGGGCAAGAGGAUUUUCAAAGAACCCAAAUGUAAUUUGGAAAUAAACUCAAGUGCCAAAAACCAGAUGGGAUUUAUAGCCUUGAGAUCAACCCAAUCUGCAGGCACAAAUACAGACUCCUAGAAAUUCCAUUUACUUAUUCUAAAAUGACCAAACACUCCAAGACAUUCUUAUACCAAACUCCAGCUAAACUGGUGGCUGAAGAUCAAUCUUGGACAUAGCAGUAGGUAUACUUCUUUCUUCCAUUCAUCCCACCCAUCCACUUCUGCUGGUCCAGAAAACUCAUUUCUUUCUCAGACUUUCUAGAAGAAUAGACCAUGAACUCCCUUAAUUCCAACCAUGGCACUACAAAUUCUUAAAUUUUAAAAAAAAAAAAAAAAAGGAAAGAAUAGGGAAAAAAAAAAAAAAGAAACAAAUGCAUUGAGAAAAUAAACUUCCAGAAUUUUAACUCAUUCUGAAAAAUAAGCCAACAUUUAGAAUUUCUUUCUUUCCAAGUCUACUCCCAAGACCUUAGCUGACCUCACGUGGAUUAGAAAGUUCUCUUUCUGCAAAUGAAACUAAUUGUAAACCUUGAUUCAGUAGCACUGGAACUGACAAAAAUCUCCCUUUAACGUACCUGUCUACCAAAAUACAUACAACUAAAAAUAGCAGUAACAUGUGGUUCCUCUGUUUAAAGGCAAAUAAUUCUAUUGUAUUAUUAUAACUCACAUAGAAAGCACUUGUCAAAAAUUAGUUGAUCAUGUAUUUCUACGUUAGCAGAAUAAAAAAAAAGACAAUUACAUAAUGUGAGAUGACAUAGUUCUUUUGUCCAAAAGUAAAAAAAUAACUAUAUGGUUAUAGUUAUACAAUUUACAUAGUGUUACAAUGAGCAACUGUUACUUUCAUGAUU